rnacentral:rRNA from 1 species
GAUGAACGCUAGCGGCAGGCCUAAUACAUGCAAGUCGAGGGGUAACAUAACAUUUCGGUGUUGAUGACGACCGGCGGACGGGUGCGUAACGUGUAUGCAACCUACCUAUAACAAGGGGAUAGGUCGUGGAAACAUGGAUUAAUACCCUAUAAUGCAUUGGUACAGCAUUGUACUAAUUGCUAAAGAUUUAUUGGUUAUAGAUGGGCAUGCGUAUGAUUAGUUAGUUGGUGAGGUAACGGCUCACCAAGACGAUGAUCAUUAGGGGUUCUGAGAGGAUUAUCCCCCACACUGGCACUGAGAUACGGGCCAG